rnacentral:rRNA from 1 species
AGAGUUUGAUCCUGGCUCAGAACGAACGCUGGCGGCGUGCUUAAUACAUGCAAGUUGUGCGAGAAAGUAUUCUUCGGAAUAUUAGUAGAGCGGCGAACGGGUGAGUAACACGUAAAUAACCUGCCCUUAAAUCUGGAAUAACCCUGCCAACGUGGGGCUAAUACCGGAUGUGAUCUAGACACUUCAUGGUGUUUGGAUUAAAGGUGACCUCUUCUUGAAAGUUACUGUUUAAGGAUGGAUUUGCGGACCAUUAGCUAGUUGGUGAGGUAACGGCUCACAAAGGCGACGAUGGUUAGCCGACCUGAGAGGGUGAUCGGCCACAUUGGGACUGAGAUACGGCCCAGACUCCUACGGGAGGCAGCAGUAGGGAAUUUUGCGCAAUGGACGAAAGUCUGACGCAGCAACGCCGCGUGAGCGAUGAAGGCCUUCGGGUUGUAAAGCUCUGUUGGGUAGGAAGAAAAGCUAUAAGGUUAAUACCCUUAUAGUAUGACGGUACUACUCGAGGAAGCUCCGGCUAACUACGUGCCAGCAGCCGCGGUAAUACGUAGGGAGCAAGCGUUGUUCGGAAUCACUGGGCGUAAAGGGAGCGCAGGCGGAAAGGUAAGUUAGGAGUGAAAUACAUGGGCUCAACCCGUGGCACUGCUCUUAAUACUGUCUUUCUUGAGUAUGGGAGAGGGCGAUGGAAUUCCAGGUGUAGCGGUGGAAUGCGUAGAUAUCUGGAAGAACACCAGUUGCGAAGGCGGUCGCCUGGCCCAAUACUGACGCUGAGGCUCGAAAGCUAGGGGAGCGAACAGGAUUAGAUACCCUGGUAGUCCUAGCCGUAAACGAUGGACACUAGUUGUUGGAGGAGUCAAUCCCUUCAGUGACGUAGUUAACGCAUUAAGUGUCCCGCCUGGGGAGUACGCUCGCAAGGGUGAAACUCAAAGGAAUUGACGGGGGCCCGCACAAGCGGUGGAGCAUGUGCUUUAAUUCGAUGCAACGCGAAGAACCUUACCUGGAUUUGACAUGGGGAUGAAAACCUUUAGAGAUAGAGGUCCUCUCUUCGGAGACAUUCUACACAGGUGCUGCAUGGUUGUCGUCAGCUCGUGUCGUGAGAUGUUGGGUUAAGUCCCGCAACGAGCGCAACCCCUGUCCUUAGUUGCCAUCAGGUAAUGCUGGGAACUCUAGGGAGACCGCCUGGUAUAACCAGGAGGAAGGUGGGGAUGACGUCAAAUCAUCAUGGCCCUUACGUCCAGGGCUAGACACGUGCUACAAUGGCUGGUACAAUGGGCUGCAAACCUGCGAAGGUAAGCCAAUCCCUUAAAACCAGUCUCAGUCCGGAUUGGAGUCUGCAACUCGACUCCAUGAAGUUGGAAUCGCUAGUAAUCGCGGAUCAGCAUGCCGCGGUGAAUACGUUCCCGGGCCUUGUACACACCGCCCGUCAAGCCAUGAAAGACGGUAGUGCCCGAAGUCGCUCCUCUAACCGUAAGGAAGAAUGCGCCGAAGGUAAGGCUGUUGAUUGGGGCUAAGUCGAAACAAGGUA